rnacentral:rRNA from 1 species
UAUACAGCGAAACUGCGAAUGGCUCAUUAUAUAAGUUAUCGUUUAUUUGAUAGUGCCUUACUACUUGGAUAACCGUGGUAAUUCUAGAGCUAAUACAUGCUAAAAACCCCGACUUCGGAAGGGGUGUAUUUAUUAGAUACAAAACCAAUGCCCUUCGGGGCUCUUUGGUGAUUCAUGAUAACUAUACGAAUCGCACGGCCUUGCGCCGGCGAUGGUUCAUUCAAAUUUCUUCCCUAUCAACUUUCGAUGUUUGGGUAUUGGCCAAACAUGGUUGCAACGGGUAACGGAGGGUUAGGGCUCGACCCCGGAGAAGGAGCCUGAGAAACGGCUACUACAUCCAAGGAGGGCAGCAGGCGCGCAAAUUACCCAAUCCCGACUCGGGGAGGUAGUGACAAUAAAUACUGAUACAGGGCCCUUUCGGGCCUUGUAAUUGGAAUGAGUACAAUUUAAAUCCCUUAACGAGGAACAAUUGGAGGGCAAGUCUGGUGCCAGCAGCCGCGGUAAUUCCAGCUCCAAUAGCGUAUAU